rnacentral:rRNA from 1 species
UACGAGUGCCCCAAGCGUUAUCCGGAAUCAUUGGGCGUAAAGGGUGUGUAGGCGGUCGGGUUAGUCUCCUGUCAAAUUCUUCGGCUCAACCGGGGGUCCGCAGGGGAAACGGCACGACUAGAGGAUGCGAGAGGUGAAUGGAACUCAUGGAGUAGGGGUGAAAUCCGUUGAUAUCAUGGGGAACACCGAAUGCGAAGGCAGUUCACUGGCGCACUCCUGACGCUGAGACACGAAAGCGUGGGGAGCGAACAGG